GCAGCGGCGUCGGAGUGGUUAACUAGAUUGACUCGAAAUCAAGUGGGCUCUGCCCGCAUAGGUUCGAAUCCUGUUCGCUGCG
rfam:Toxocara canis scaffold1590, whole genome shotgun sequence.